rnacentral:rRNA from 1 species
UACGUAGGGGGCAAGCGUUGUCCGGAAUCAUUGGGCGUAAAGAGCGUGUAGGCGGUUCGGUAAGUCGGCUGUGAAAGUCCAGGGCUCAACCCUGGGAUGCCGGUCGAUACUGCCGGACUAGAGUUCGGAAGAGGCGAGUGGAAUUCCCGGUGUAGCGGUGAAAUGCGCAGAUAUCGGGAGGGACACCUAUGGCGAAGGCAGCUCGCUGGGACGUUACUGACGCUGAGACGCGAAAGCGUGGGGAGCAAACAGG